rnacentral:rRNA from 1 species
UGGGGAAUAUUGCACAAUGGAGGGAACUCUGAUGCAGCGACGCCGCGUGAACGAAGAAGGCUUUCGAGUCGUAAAGUUCUUUUAUAUGGGAAGAUAAUGACGGUACCAUAAGAAAAAGCCCCGGCUAACUACGUGCCAGCAGCCGCGGUAAUACGUAGGUGGCUAGCGUUGUCCGGAAUCACUGGGCGUAAAGGGUUCGCAGGCGGAAAUGCAAGUCAGGUGUAAAAGGCAGUAGCUUAACUACUGUAAGCAUUUGAAACUGCAUAUCUUGAGAAGAGUAGAGGUAAGUGGAAUUUUUAGUGUAGCGGUGAAAUGCGUAGAUAUUAAAAAGAAUACCGGUGGCGAAGGCGGCUUACUGGGCUCAUUCUGACGCUGAGGAACGAAAGCGUGGGUAGCAAACAGG